UGUGCCAGAUAGGUGAGAAAUGUGUAUCCAAGGCAGGGUUCGCUUCAGAUAGACGCAAUUCCCAGUCCAAAAUACAAAGCUGUGCAAGAAGCUAAGAGGCUUGCUUCAUCAAAUAAUGCUUUGAUCAGCCACAGGUAGAGAAAAAGCCAUAGUGCUUGUCAUACAUGUUUUCUGUCAAGCUUCUGACCAAGUCAGUUUGGUUUCACCCUCCUUCCUUCUCACUGAACACAAAUAAGAUGACGUAGUUAGGCUUGGGAUUGUCUAGUUGCAUAACUCUACACCUUUCACCUUGCUGUAUCUUAAUGUCUCCCUUCCAACCUUUGCCCAGGUUAAAGACGCACGUGAAACCGUGCCCAGGAGGAAGCCCAUCCCAGGCAGCUUCUGCAGGAGCAGGCACUAGAGCCUGGUGGUGCUACUGCAUUUAGAGGCUGCCACGAGGCAGAAAUCCAAAGCUCCUUCCCUCUGCACAUCUCCUUCACCAGGGACAGCCGCGGCGAGGAACGGCUCCUUCCUGCGUGAAGCUUUGCUGAGCCCUGGAAACAUCACAGCUGCCUUGGUGCCUUGGUGGAGCAGCUGAGCUGCACAGGAAUCCCGUUGACAUUCUGCCCAAGCUGGAGACCACAAGAUGCUUACUAGAGCCGUCCUUCUAGCUUCAACAAAGUCUUCUGUGCUGCUGGCUCUUAAAAACUAGCACAUACAAAACCAAGACACACAGUGAGUGACAUCAGCCACCAUUUCCCCUCCACAUGUGUGCCUACAUUUUCUCUAUGUGUGCACAAUGGCGUUUUUGACCUGAAAACAAUGCAUUCAAGGAAAAAAUAUGGUUUUGUGUGAUGGGAUUUCCAAGGGAGCCUGAAGGACUUUGGUAUCCCAAGACUAUAAAGUCCAAAGAACACAAUGCUUAACAUCUUCAGCCUCCUUUGAAUUCUCAGCCUUACUGAACCAAGAAGAAAGAAAGCCUGGCCCAUAAGCAGGAAUCCACUAAUUAAAGAGAAAUGGAGCUUAUUUGUCUUGGUUUCUGAAGUCACAGUUCUCCACUUCUGAAAACACAAGUUUCUCACCAGUUCUUUUCCGCCCUAGGGCUGUGACCUAAGCAGCUUAAAUGAUACACAGAUUUUGGUCGAAAUCUGCUCCUUAUUUACUGGACUUCAAAUGUGCAAGCAAUUACUGAAUGGGUCUCGUUUAUUGAAUAAAAGUAUUUAGGCAUUAUGUUUACAAAGGCCUAAAAACAUUAAAAUCUAGUGAAAAACAAUUAUUUUUACAGAAUACAUCUGCAAGCAAUAUGAAGUCAUUUUGUUUUUGUAAAUUUCUCCGUAAUAGACUUAUUGUUGAUGUGGAAAAUGUUCACGUUGCAGCAGUGAAUUAUUUUGAAAUGCCAAACUUAAUAAAGGAGAAAUUAUUGCAAAUAAUAUCACAACCCUUAAGGAAAAGAAAAAAAAAAAGCCAAAAUACCAGUGGUUUCCUGACUAGUCAAUCCUCUUCAGAUUGGCAGACCUCUUCAGACUAAUCAGGAAGAGUUAGACAAAUAGUUACUUUAUUACGGAGGCUGUCAAAUAAAUCAGAAUCUGGCAAGCAACUGUUUCUGAGCCCUGCAGCCCGGCUGGCUCUUUUUUUUUUUCCUGUAAAACCAAGGCAGUUCCAGCAGCCCCACGUAUGUGUGGAUUUGUCUGCAGAGCAAUGCGUAGGCUUGAGGCCUCCAAACAAAACUUGUUCCAAAUUUGGGCCAGCAUUUUUCUUGGCUUCCCCGCGUUUUGUUGUGGAACAGGGCUUGCAGACGAAAUGUUUCCUAACCAAUUAAUUCAGGUCGCUGCUGUUAUUUUUAAAGGAGUGCUCUGAAGCUCAGCACACAAAGGGUAAUGAGAAAAUAACGCUUUAAACAACAUCAGAGGAAUUAGGCCACAAACUCCAACUACAUUAUCCAAUUCAUGCUGCAGAGUUAUUUUACCCCCAAAUGCUUGCUCUUGCAGGAGGCAGGAUAAAUGGGGAUUCUGCCCAAGGUACAAGCCUGAAACACAGCCACAAUGCAGGUCACAGACAGUGAUUUUCAGACACCAGCCCCAAGAGGAGCUUGGCUGCGCUGCUGUUCCCUGGGCUCCGAACCCACACCUAGUGCCAGCAGGCUGUGCUGUCUGAGGAGGGCUGCAAACUGAGGUCUCAUUUCAGCAGAGCACUGGGCACAUUCCUUAAUCUGCUGUCCCAGAGCACGGCAGGGUGGGUUCAAAGUGAUGCAGAGGAGACCCAGGUACGUAACUGGACUCUAGCAUUACCCAGGCAGUCUGCUGAGUAGAGAGAAGAGGAGUGCUGUGUCAAGAAGUAAGCGAUAACCUCACCUUUUGGACCUCCAUUCAAUCCAUUUUGUGCUGUUUAUCCGCAUCGAACAGCAUUGAUUUAAAAGGCAACCACAGGGCAGAGGGAAGGGAAAAGGAGAUAGUGCAGGAAGGGAGGAGGAAAGUUUGAAAGUAACAUCCAUAAAGAGUCUAAUGAACACCGGGGCUUGCAGUCGUUUGAAAAUGUUUUCAGAUAUGGUUGUUAGAGAAAAUAAAUUCACCAACUGAGCAGCCAAGAAUUCUACUUAGAAACUACAAGACUGUCCAAACAAGAACUUCUUCAUUUACAUGCAUGACAAUGCAAACUGGCAGCACUGACAGAUCAGGUAAAACACUGGCGAUGCUCCAGGCUUGCCAAGAAGAUGGGAUAUAAUAACUUCUGAGGCUAAUAAGAGGCCUUAAAAACAAACUUUUUUUUUUUUUUUUGCACUGUACCACACUGAAAGCAACAGUGCAGAUGGACUUGCACCUGUCUCCAGAUGAAACCAGUAGCUAGUGCAGUGCUAUUCUUAAUAUGAAUUAACUUUUAAUACAGAUCUGCUUUCGUUCUAAUUGACUUUAUAAAGCUACUAAAAAUAACCAUUCAUCUAGCCAGCAGGCAUGCUUUUCCCCUUCCCCCUGUCUCAGUAUGGACUGGAACACUAUAAGCAUCUCUGUGCACAGGGCAUCAGCCCUUCUCUCACUCAGAACAGUUUUCUGCUCCCCUUGCCACUUUUCCUCCCUGGGGUCAACAAGGAACAGCUCUGCACUGCCAGCAGUGAGCUUUGCCAUCCUUGGGCAAAGGAUGUUUGAAGUGCUCUGUUUCCCAGCCCAGUGCACAGCCCAGCCUUGCUGGCCAAGGUGCAGGGCUGCAGCCAGAGCAGGGCAGCGCAGGCAGCCACCAGCAGCACCCCGGCAGGGCACAGCACGGCACGGCACGGCACAGCACACCAUGCGACAUGGGCCGAGAUGCAGGAAGACUUUUCCUUCCACUUCUGCUGCUGCAGGUCCCCGCGGGAAGGAUAAGUGCUAUAUUCCUCCCGCAUGCAGCCUAUUUCCCAUUUCCUUCCCAGUUUUCCUAUAUGUUGUAUUUAUUUUGAUUUUUAAGUGAAAACAAGUUUUUACUCAGCUGUUUAAGGCAACUCGCCCUCCAUCUGGUUUGUACUGUACAUCAUCACCUAUUGUCCUGCCAUGAGCCAAUUUCUAAAUGUUUCAGCUGUUGAUGGCUGUUGGCGAUGAUGUAUGAAGCAGAAACAAAGCCAGAGUCACAAAGACUUCAAAAAGGCCGAAGAUAACUAAGAACAUUGUUUUGACUAAACACAGACAUGUGCACUGAGAAGCUGCAACUUCUUCCAACCUUGCUCUCCCUCUCUGGAGCCACCUUUUAAUUUGUUGCAGUUGCACAAAUGAUCUCUGUGUGUUAGGAGUUCAAAGGAAAGAGCCAACCCCAAAACAUCUUGAUGCGCCACCACCUUAAAAGACAUUUCUCUGAUGAAGUUACGAAAACAGGCUCUAAUGCCUCAGAAAGACGAUGACUUUCAAAGUAACAUGUAAAAGCCUUACGACUUGUUCACAAAGCAAACCCAAAACAUAUUCCAGCUCAGCUAAAGUUAAUUAUUUUUUCAGGAACCAUCUAUCACCGGCAGAGACAGCUAGGGUGUAGAAGGCAAACAUCCAAGGGCUAGCUUGGGCUGAGACAGCACAGUCUGCCAUCCAGACUCGCACGGAGAGGGGUUAGAGCACAGAACUGAAUGAGAAGACUGAAUUUGUGUCCCACGGCAUUUCUGACCAACCCACUGCAGAACCACAGGUAAGUCACUGAGUCCCUGAGUCCCGGUUUCUUCGAUGGAAAAUGCUGAUAAUGAUGUUUAUUCUAUUUUCUAACAGAUUUUGGAUAAAACAUGCUCACGACUAUAACACACACUGGUCACUUCAGCCAUCUUUGUGGAAAUUAAUAAAAAGAAGAGACACCUUAAAACCUUUGUCAGGUAUCAAAGGUUACGCUGCACUUUAUCCUCUGAUGAUACCUUUAACUCUCUUUGUAUAUGAAUGGGAUCCCUUUCGAAUUUAGACUAAUGUUCUUUUAUAUUUAUAAUAUUCAGGACAGCUACACAUGCUUGAUUACCUUUAAAACACUUAUCAUGAUUCCAUUUAAAAAUAAAUGAAUCCCAUUUAAAAGUGACUUGUCCCCAUCCUCUAGUAUUUAUGGACAAGGACAUAUGGGGCUGAUUUCUCUCAUUAUUAACCAGCAUGUCUGAGGCUUAAAUCAUUUAAAUUAUUCAUUGACAGCAAUCGGGCUACUCAUGCAAGCUCCCACUUGCACAAGGAGGCCCAGCGAUAGGACCAGUCAAGUGGAUGAAGACUGCUGAACGAUUUUGGGAUGCACUGAGCAUCCACAGAUAAGGGUAACUUCGAUUAGGGUGAGGAGUACUUUUGAAAAUUGGUCACUUAGCAGGGGUUUUCAGCGUAGUUAUUUUGACUGAUGUUUUCUUCCAAGGUUACCAGGACUGAAAUUCAGAGUGAUGAUCUCUAAUAGCUGAAGGAAAUAUGAGUGAUUGUGCGGUGAUUGCCCCAACAAAACCCAAGCCAGCUGCAAGACAUUUCUAGAGCACUGAGUUGUGUGGGACUUGCAAUCCUGGUAUGGGUUUCUGAAGUGGCCAGGCACAAGGUGGGCAUCUCUGCAGAACCUGUGCUAUGAAAGCUUCUUUGAAGAACAAAGCUGAGCAAGUGAAGAAAAGCAUCUCCGAGUAAGUAGCAGAAACUGCCCACCUCUAGCAUGAACACUGUUCCAGCACCACUGAAAUCUGAGACAGGAGAUGGAUAAAUCAACUGCGCUGUUGAGCUUGGACUUUAAUAGUCCAAAUGACAAAGGCAGUAAACAUUUAACUCUCUGCUAUAAAGAGACUUUCCAGCCUAUUGCAGACUACUCUGCUCUCUGACCAGCUCACCAGUGGAAGACCUUGAGCUAACCGCCGGUGCAUUUUCAAUCAGUGCAGUCAGAGGGAGAGAAUAGGAAUCAUCCUUCAUGGGAAGAAAAGCUCGUGGUUAUUCUUUAGGUUUUAUUUUUAAUUAAAAAGAUAUGUUUCUCACUGUCUUCAGAAUGAGCCCAAGGAACAUUUGUAAUCAUUUUCAGGUCACAUUAUAUUGUACACACUGCAGCUGGUUUCACAGCUACGUGGGCAGAUUACUAUUUUUCUGCACACCUAAAUCACUAUCAAGGUAGCGGCAGACAGGAAGCAUCCCCAACAUCCAGAGGUUACAAUACAUCUCAUAAAACACAGCCUAGCUCCUGGAAGAGGAAACUUUCAGAUUUCAGCCGGGUCUCUCAGCCCAACCUAGGAGCCCCAACCCAUACUGGACUUUGUCGCUGUAUGUGAUCCUGAUAGUAAAGGUCAUGUUUUGUUUUGUUCCUUUUCCCCCUAAGAAAGGCAGAAAGGUUAGCAAGUCUUUAAACUCGCAGUUCUUAAGGCUGUUAAUAUUUCACAUUGCCAGCAGGGAAAGGAAUUAAAACUGCCAGUAGCUAUCCAGAUAGAUUUUAAAAUCCCCUUCCCUCCCCCUUCUCUCUGCCUCCCUCAGCUUCAGAGGAUAUUUUCCCCGCAAAUUGGUUUUAAAUUAAGGAAGGUGAUGAAGGCAAUGUGCCGUCUCAGCAUUUUCCCAGGUGCACUUAAUCUAAUUUCAUUAAGGAGAUCAGGACAGAUGAUCGCUACAGUCGAAACAUUAAGUCUGUCCAUUUUUGUAUAAAAAACCAUUAAGUCUGUCAAAGUGUCGGCGGGUGGGCUGUUUAUUAUUGGAGAUGAAGGCGCGCUUUGCUUCCCCAAUAAACUGUCAGGAGUAGUAAACCACAAAUUAAGUCAGCUGCUGCCAAAGAUUUAGGCAAAGAUCUCCAACUAAUUUUGACACAGGUGUGGGAAAGGCCAAGGAAAUAGAAGCGGUAAGGCAGGCCGUGCACUUUGGAAACCAAGCCUUGUGUGCAUGUUUGACGUAUUUCCAUCCAACCCACUGAAGAGUGGAGAACCGCAUCGGUGCGUACGGCCAAGCAGAACUGCUGGAGCUUGUGGCACUCCAGGCACAGCGCGGAUGGGAGUGCACAACCGCCUCUGCCUUAACCUGCACUCACCCUGCCGGGACUCAUCAUUUUGUCUUUGGCAGACACGAACUCAUAAAAGCUUCAUUUAGCUGCUGCUCUGCUCUGAAUGUACGCACAGCUUUAAAACAUAAAACCGCUUUCUUCAAAUAAUCAUACAGAUAUCACACAAAAUUAGAGGAAAACCAUCAAAAUGCAGAAACUACGGAAGACUGUUUAAAAGGCAAGAAAGAAAUCAAGUGAAGCUUUCAGAUUGAAUUUUCAGGCGUUACAAAAUUGAAUGUGAACCAUUUGCCAAGGAGAACACCUUCCUUCUCAUGAAAAAUGCAGCUAGGUAGAACUUGGUAUUAAAGGCUGUCAAGAAAUGUUAAAAAGUAUAAAUCCCUAACAGGAAUUACACAGCCUUUACAGGACUUACAGAGAAAUUAACAGUCCCUAAGAUGGCAUCAGGAGGGAUGUUCUAGCUGGAGCUUUGUGAUGAAGGAAAAUUACCAUGUUUGCAGGUAAUGUGUGCUAUGUACUGCUCUGAGACUUAUUUACAAACACUUAUUUUAAUCUCUCUGGCUCUGAGUUUUCUCUGUUUAAAGAGUACCUCACUCUGGUUGGUGUCUGUGGAAAACCAGGGCUCUAUUUCUUAGGGACUCCUGCCCAUGAGGGCGUACAGCAAAGGCAGGGCGGUGCCAGCUCCAACAUCUCCCCUGAGGCAGGGUGCCAUGGCAAGCUCCUUACAGAGCUCUCAGACACAAGCAGCAGCUGAUAAGCAGCUGGUAAGUUAAAACAACAUCUGAUAAGCACUGGGAGACUCACCUGGGUGAACGAAUACCCAUUUCAAUCAUCGUGCUUUAAGUAAAGGUGAAUUCCCAAGCAAGGUUAGGCAAAUGUUACUUCUAGUCUUUACUACUUACUGAUCCAAAUGUUGUUUCCUCUUACACACCUGGAGACCUCUUGUAGCAAAAACUAGUUUGGAUUUUAUUGCAAAUUGGACCCAGAAGCAGGAACUGUUGGAAAGCUACAAAACCCAAAGCUGACUCUCGGGCCAUCCACGAGUUUCACCCUUUAUGUUUGCAUAGGGCACCCAGUGCUGCCUGCUAAGCUCUUCUGUUUUAUUUAAUCUGGUAAAAUGAUUUUGGAAACAGUUACGAGAACCUGCAUGCCAAAUGAGGGACUGCAAUUGCAGCUACUGGAGUAUGCAUCCUCCAAAAUCUUCUCAUCUUCUUGGCAUCUUUACGGUUAAUUAAAUCGUUCAAUUAUAAUGCCAAUUCCUAUCUGCUGCCUACUAUGUUAUGCUAAUCACCAGAAUACCUCAUCAUCUUCCAAGGAGUUACUGCCAUUGCACAGUUAGCCCUUUGAAUUCGUGGCUUUGCUGUAAUGGGGCUUCUUGAUGUGGGCAGACAGCUGUUCAAGAUUGCUCUCUUCCCUGCUGCCUCAGAUCUUAGAAGUGUCUUCACAAGGUCCCCAGUAAGAUAAGAAAAUGCUCAUGGAUGGGGAACUGAACUGGGAGAUGUUAAACAAUAGAAAACCCAGAGAGCUGGGAAAUGUUGACUGCCAGCAACAGAACUGGUAUUAUCCUGUCUUGCCCAAGAGCUCUCCAUACGAUCUCUCAAGUCCUUUUAUGUGAGUUAAUGAUGGACUUCUGUCAGCAAACUACAAGGCCCUUCUCAUUGUUUGCUGUGAAAAAGAAAAUUCUACAUUUUCAAGAAUGAAUAUGGACACCGCAGCCCCUGAUGACUCAGCUUGUUACAUACAGACCAAUGCACUUAAAAUUUGAGUUUUUGUCCGGAUAAAGGAAAAACAAAAUCUCAGUAGGAGGGGAGAACACUGGUGCCGAAGCUUUGAGUCUGGUUAGUUUUUUCAAUUACAUUCUUGCUUUCCUUAAAUUCUAGGAAUACCAAGGUCAAGAAGGGCCAUUGUUACUACAGCUUCUUACUGCAGUUCCAGACGCUCUUGUUGGGAAGGACAAUUUGAAGCACGCCUUAACCUGGCCUACCUCAAUUGCCCUGCGUUUAGGUGGAAGCCCUUCUGUUCACUCUGUGCACAGGGUGGGUGGAAUGACAGAAGCCCAUGGAAGCCAAGGCUCUCCUCCAGAUGGAACAUCCCAAGCAGUGACUGAGUGAGCUGGCUAUGCAGUGGGCCUGCAAGAUGCCAUUUUGCUGGUAAAUCUGUUCAUGGAGAGCUACAAAGUAAAUUCACGGAGCUGUGAAUUUCUGUCUUCCUGCAAUGACAGCGACAUUACACUUCUGGUUUAUAGCACCCAAAUCUUUCAAGGGCUACAAGGUUAUUUUAGACGCAUUAUUUUGGUAUUCUAUAAAAAGCAGAUCUGUUUUUAAUAACGGCGUGAGGCUUGUCUCUCAGAGACUUUCUUCAGUUAAGAGAACUGACAGCCUUUACCCAGCUCUUAUUUUAUAAGAGUCAGGUUUCUAACUGGUUUUCACGCCGCAUCACUGGGUUUUCAGUCUGUAAGAAUUAAGUUUUAGAAGAAACACAGAUUCUGCGUAUCAAUGUGCAUGCACACGUGUAUAUAUUACAUUGCUGCAAGCUGCUAAGCCAGCAACACAGCCAAAGUACAUGCUUCCGCAACGGCAACGCUCUGUGUAAGCAAGAGCAUACUACAGGAAAAUAACCACUUAAAUACUGUGUGAAAACCCAGCUGGGAAGUAACUGGCAAAUGAAGAUUUCUAGUUAUUAGUCACAGCUGAAAACUGUCAUAGCUUGAAGUGUAAUGCUAACAGAAGAACAAAUGCUGCCAUGUGACAGCCCUCGGUUCCAUUCUGUGUUUUAUUUCUGCUGCAACCAGUAAGAAUUGGGGUUGCCAGAGAAGUACCAGGCUUCAUUUCUUGGAGAAAGGGACAAUCUAAUGAUGGACUCAAAAAAAUGAGUGGGGAGGGAAGGACAACCCUGGCCUGAGUAAGCUUCAAAAAUAGCAAAUAACUGAUUACUUGUAGUGGGAACUGAACUUCCAGCCAAAUUUCCAGUCUCGUGGAAACAAGACAUUUAUGAGAGUUAUCAGGUGGAACCCACUUCUUCCAUUGCUAGAUAAACUGUGAGGAGUGAGGAGAAAGCAGCCUUCAGCAGCAGUGCUAUUCAUAAUAGCCCCUGUGGACUUCAAAUGAGUGGCACUGGGGCAUUCAGGGACCGAGGCUUAUUCCAGCCCCACAGAACAACGUGCUGAUCUUGCACUGAUGCAUUGCCAAAGGAGGCCGUGACAGCAGGAGAGUGCAAAGGUGCAACAAAACACACAAAUUUGGGUUAACGUUGGCUGUUUGGGAACACUGUGCUGCUUGGCUUCUCCUCCCAUGCUGGACUUCCAGAGUUGCUCACAGUGUCUUCCCAGAUCUCACCUUCCUUGACCACCAGCUACCUGACACAGCACUUCCCUCCCUGGGCCUCAGCAUCUCCUCUCCUCUCUUCUCCUGCCUCUGUAACUGCUCCUGCUAUUUUGAGCAUCAUUGAGACAAUCUUUAAUCUGGUGUCAUGGGGCUUUUAUCUUAUUCUGGGUAAUCUCAUACA